rnacentral:rRNA from 1 species
UACGAAGGGGGCAAGCGUUGUUCGGAAUUAUUGGGCGUAAAGAGCUUGUAGGCGGUUUGUCGCGUCUGCUGUGAAAAUCCGGGGCUCAACCCCGGACUUGCAGUGGGUACGGGCAGACUAGAGUGUGGUAGGGGAGACUGGAAUUCCUGGUGUAGCGGUGAAAUGCGCAGAUCUCAGGAGGAACACCGGUGGCGAAGGCGGGUCUCUGGGCCGAUACUGACGCUGAGGAGCGAAAGCGUGGGGAGCGAACAGG